GGUUUAAUUCGAAGCAACGCGAAGAACCUUACCUGGCCUUGACAUGCUGAGAACUUUCCAGAGAUGGAUUGGUGCCUUCGGGAACUCAGACACAGGUGCUGCAUGGCUGUCGUCAGCUCGUGUCGUGAGAUGUUGGGUUAAGUCCCGUAACGAGCGCAACCCUUGUCCUUAGUUACCAGCACCUCGGGUGGGCACUCUAAGGAGACUGCCGGUGACAAACCGGGA
rnacentral:rRNA from 1 species